UACGUAGGAGGCAAGCGUUGUCCGGAAUCACUGGGCGUAAAGCGCGUGUAGGUGGUGCGCCAAGUCUGCUGUGAAAGCGCCUGGCUUAACCGGGCGAGGUCGGCGGAAACUGGCGCGCUGGAGGCCGGUAGAGGGGGGUGGAAUUCCCGGUGUAGUGGUGAAAUGCGUAGAGAUCGGGAGGAACACCUGUGGCGAAGGCGGCCCCCUGGGCCGGGCCUGACACUGAUACGCGAAGGCGUGGGGAGCGAACGGG
rnacentral:rRNA from 1 species